rnacentral:rRNA from 1 species
CGACUUUGGGCAAGGGAUAUUUGGGCUCUCGCAUCGAUGAAGAACGCAGCAAAUUGCGAUACUGGGUGUGAAUUGCAGAAUCCCGUGACCCAUCGAGGUUUUUGAACGCAAGUUGCGCCCGAAGCCAUUAUGCUGAGGGCACGUCUGCCUGGGCGUCAC